GAACUGAAACGGGAGCAAAGUGUACAGAAGUUAAAAGACCGAGGGAAGUGUCGUCUUGUAAAUUUUUACUUACAGUCAACGUUAACUGUUCGUUCUGUUUUGUCGAAAAGGUUCGCCCGUGACGCUUGCACCAGCUUUCCACGGCGCGCGUCGCGGAAGGGAAUUGAUAAAGUACAACUCCCAGGUCUCUUCUCAGCUUCCCUUUCGACUCAGUCAACUCGUUUCAAGCUGAAUUCGAUAUUACAUGGAGCAGAAUGUCGCGAGGGUAGAAAGAUUCCUUGAAUUGGAAUUCUCCAAGGGAUGGAGCGCUUGGUAAAAUAUAAUUUUUACACUUUCAACAAGACGAUAACGAUGUGGAUGGCAAUGAACUACGUGAAUGGCAAUAAUAUGACUAUGAUGACGAUCAUGAUCGUGUGAGUAAUGAUUACAAUAAUGCAGAUAACGUUUGUGAAUGACAAUAUGUAAGACGAUAUGAAUAAAGGUCAUAAUGACGAUGGCAAUGAUGAUGGUAACAACGAUGGCGAUUUCGAUGACAAUAUAUGAUAAUGAUGACGAUAGUGAUUAUCAUAGCUAUGUGAAUAUUGGUGGUAAUGCCAUUAAUGCAGAUGACGAUAUGGAUGACAGUGACGAUGACAAUACAAGUAACGAAAAUUUUUAGAAAUGUGUGAAUUUAAAUUGUUCCAAGCUCGCAUUUUCUGCGAGUUUAAAAUACUGCGUCCCACGCGUGACCAAGCGUUGGGCAAACGUUAAAAACAAAAAUAGAAAUAGAAAUAAAUUGUCUUUUUUUCGAGUAUGCUCGGGCGCGCCAGUUAAAGGUGAAACAAGCGUAAAGGUAUAUAUGGGGUGAUUCCGGAAACUGGGUCAAGCUGUAACUCUUUUCUAAGCGAAGAGACAAAAAGUUGAAUCCCGGGACGGAGACCAACAAUAUCUUUGUGUGAUAUAACUUACUUUAUGUAACGAUGUCGAUGUAAUAUGUACCUGUAUUUUUCAAUGAAACCUUUGGCUUCUUUUAAAUGAAGUGAUUCGUCUCGUCGUUCUGCAUAUAAAUGCAUUACGAUAUGACCAUUGGAAAUUGUCUUAUUUCUGCUUCUUCAAAAUUUUAAAUUUAUUCAUUAUAAAAUAAAUUACUGGAGAAAACGUAA